AUUGAACGCUGGCGGCAGGCCUAACACAUGCAAGUCGAGCGGAGCGGCGGUCGGGGAAGGAAUGCCUAGGAAUCUGCCUGGUAGUGGGGGAGAACGUCAGGUAACGGGAACUAAUACCGCAUACUCUUCCAUGAGCCUAGGUUGGAUUAGCUAGAUGGUGGGGUAAAGGCCUACCAAGGCGACGAUCCGUAACUGGUCUGAGAGGAUGAUCAGUCACACUGGAACUGAGACACGGCCCAGACUCCUACGGGAGGCAGCAGUGGGGAAUAUUGGGCAAUGGGCGAAAGCCUGAGCCAGCCAUGCCGCGUGUGUGAAGAAGGUCUUCGGAUUGUAAAGCACUUUAAGUUGGGAGGCGUUACCAACAGAAGAAGCACCGGCUAACUUCGUGCCAGCAGCCGCGGUAAUUC
rnacentral:rRNA from 1 species